rnacentral:rRNA from 1 species
UCGAUGAAGCCGGGGCGUGAGCCAUCCGGUGGAGAGAUCACUAGUGAGAAUGAUGACAUGAGUAGCGACAAAGAGUGUGAGAGACACUCUCGCCGAAAGUCCAAGGGUUCCUGCUUAAAGCUAAUCUGAGCAGGGUAAGCCGACCCCUAAGGCGAGGCCGAAAGGCGUAGUCGAUGGGAACCAGGUUAAUAUUCCUGGGCCAGGAGGAUGUGACGGAUCUGAGCCGUUGUUCACACUUAUCGGAUUGUGUGGGCAGCCAACAGGUUCCUGGAAAUAGCCCUCCAUGAGAUCGUACCCUAAACCGACACAGGUGGACUGGUAGAGAAUACCAAGGCGCUUGAGAGAACGAUGUUGAAGGAACUCGGCAAAAUACCUCCGUAAGUUCGCGAGAAGGAGGCCCGGUUUCUAGGCAACUGGAAGCUGGGGGCACAAACCAGGGGGUGGCGACUGUUUACUAAAAACACAGGGCUCUGCGAAG